UACGUAGGGUGCAAGCGUUGUCCGGAAUUAUUGGGCGUAAAGAGCUCGUAGGCGGUCUGUCGCGUCGGAUGUGAAAAUCCAGGGCUCAACCCUGGACCUGCAUUCGAUACGGGCAGACUAGAGUUCGGUAGGGGAGACUGGAAUUCCUGGUGUAGCGGUGAAAUGCGCAGAUAUCAGGAGGAACACCGGUGGCGAAGGCGGGUCUCUGGGCCGAAACUGACGCUGAGGAGCGAAAGCAUGGGGAGCGAACAGG
rnacentral:rRNA from 1 species